rnacentral:lncRNA from 1 species
UUUUGAAGUUUAAUACAGAAAAUCUAUUUGAUAUUUAUUAAACUUAGUUUCUCCAGUUACAGUUUUGCAUUGUACAAAGCAUUUUAAUGACACAGUAGUUAAAAAGAUCUUUACAAAUUGAAAUGUGAUACCCUUUUCUCCAAAUAUUUUAAUUGCCAUAAAUUUGUUUAAAAAUACACAUUAAACGCAUGUUUCAGACACUAAACUUUCUAUAAUCUCAAUACCACAAAAUACAUAGAAUAUACUAUACAGAUGUGGAAAAAAUCUAGUUAGUAUAUAAUACUUUGCUCACCAUUAACAGCUUUAUUACGUGAAAUGCACAUACUGACUUAGAAAUCCUAAUUUUGAGCCCCAAAGUACCCUUUGAAAUUUCAAAUGUAUUGCAACAAAUAAAAUCACAGUCUGUUUUUUUUUCUUUUAGGUUUUGGUUGAAGACAGAUGCCUAAAUACUCUGAUAGAAAACAAAAUGUAACACAUGGACUCGUCAUGUACAAAGCAUAAAACAGAGACAUCCCAUUAGUUACUAACAGUACCUUUCUGAGUGGUUAAUAAGGGCUUCAUUUAUAAGUGACAGGUUCAAAGUUACCUUCCCCCACCCGCGAGCCCUCCCCCAAAAGAAAAACCCUUCUUCACCAAAUAAUAAUUUCAAAUAAGAUAAAGGAUUUGUUUUAAUAAAUAUAUAAGCACUUUAUCCUCCAUAUACAAAAUUUCUUAAAACAAUUUUAAAAGGGGGGGACCAGAUACAAAUGUCAGGAACUGUGCUUGCAAAAGUCAUGCCUGGUCCUUAGAGUUGAGUUCUGGGGUGCGGGAUGCCAGCGCAGCCCAGGGGAACGCGGCACCAGCCAUCGGGCUUGCAUAUAAAAACUGGAGACAGGAAUGCCGUGUCCCAGUCUGCCUGUAUUGGCUCCACCAGGAACGGAAACGCUUUACUUUAAGCUUCCAGAUGGAAUUAAACCAAGUGAAGCAUUCACAUAAGACAUCCUAUGGGAACUCCACACUGCGCCACCGCAUUUCCAACCCCUCCGAGCACCGGCCAGGAGCAGAGCUGAGGCUGCCCGAGGCUGCCCUCGCCCAGGGCAGAGCUGCUGCUCCACCGGGCUCCCACCGAGACCACAACAUCCUGAUGGCACAACCAGCCCUCACCUCCCACCCAGCACCACCGCUCGCUUCCAAAAGCCAUCCCUGGAGACGCUCCAGGCCAGGCUGGAUGUGGUUCUGCGCAACCUGAUCUAGUGGAAGAUGUCCCUGCUCAUUGCAGGGGGGUUGGACUAGAAGACCUGUGAAGGUCCCUUCUAGGCCAAACUAUCCUAUGAUUCUAAGAAACAGCACCCCGGCAGCAGAGCCCAAUUCCUUGCAAAGUAACGGAACUGGACAUAGAUCAUGAUUCCCCAAUUGACUGAGUUUAACUUUCCUAUUUAGGGGAUUUGUCUCCUGGAACAGCUCUGGAUUUGUCUGAGUUGGCUAGCAAAAGCUUUGGCUACUCUCACAGAUGUCUAGCAUUCGCUUUGUUGCUUGGAAACACAGGGUUUUCCAUAACACUGAUUCAUCAGACAGAGAAACUGAAACCCCGACCACAGUAUUUGUCAGAAAUGUCAGAAUUUGGAAGCUGCUGACUCCCCAAUGGGUAAUUCAAACUUGACUUGCUCAGGCCCUUUCAAUCCCUUAAUACAAACACUGCAGUGACAGCGAAUACCUGUUAGGUAAACUAUUAAAUACAGCAAAGGUAGUCUCUCUUCCUCCAGCAGCUUGCCAUUUUGGCAAACCACCUCCUGAUGUGCCUAUGGCGUUAGUUUUACUUGCCCCAGGCAAGUGCUACAUUAUUCCUAUGAAGUACUGACUCGGUGUGUUGGGGCCGUUCAUAAAUACAGUUGAGGGCAUCUUUUUGUGAUCACAGCAAUCAAGCCUCAGCAAUCUAAAGGAAUAUACAUUGCACUCCUGUAUAAUAUGCAAUAUUUAUCACCAAUAAGAUGGUGAUUCAGCACUCAAUAAAUAAUAUAUCAAUAUAGUCAGUUGCACCAUAAUCUAAAAACAAGUAUAACAUAUACUUUGGACAGACUGAGUUCAUAUAUAUAUACAUAUAUAUUAAAAGACACAUACAAUACAAAUUGCAUACUGCCAUCGAAAGCCAAGAAGAGCCACCCAGAUGCUCUGCUUUAUGGCUAAUAGUUUCAAAUCAAAAGAAAAGUC